rnacentral:lncRNA from 10 species
GCAGAGUUGAGAUUCAAAUCCAGGGUCUGUGGUCUGAACCAGUGUGCAUGUUGAAGGAUUGUCAGAUUGACAGAUGCAAGCAGAUACCGACCCUCUUGAUGGAGAAACUGAGGCACAGAAAGGUUCCCAGCUAAUAAGUGGCUAUGCUGAGAUUUGAAGCCAGCAGACUGGCUUGUUGAGUGUUCUCUGUUCUUGAUGUUAUGUUCCACUGGAACUUGGGAGAUGCAUUUGGGAC